GCUAUGGUGAAUUGUGCUGCUAUAAACAUUGAUGUGGCUGUGUCCCUGUAGUAUGCUGUUUUUAAGUUCUUUGGGUAUAGUCUGAGGAGAGGAAUGGGACACAGCCACAUCAAUGUUUUUAGCAGCACAAUUCACCAUAGC
rnacentral:miRNA from 1 species